rnacentral:tmRNA from 1 species
GGGGCUGACAUGGAUUCGACUACAAGAACAGUGGGCAAGUAAGCAUGUGGUACUAUGUUUCCUACGUACCUUAAAAAGUGGAUUCAACCUAUUUAACUGGCGAGAAUAACUACGCCUUAGCUGCCUAAUUUUUACCCGAAUUAUAGUAAGGUAUUGGCGCAUCUGUACUAGGUACAGAAGCUAAGUAUCUCUCAGGGGCUCGGUUUCGCGGCGCCUGAUUCAGAGGUAUAGAAAUGCGAAAAUAAGCUUUCGAAGGCUUCGGUCGAAAGUCGAAAAAACAUAGAAGAUAAGUUUUGUCUUGGGCGUUUGCUCUCUGGGCAAAAUCGAAAAUCAAAAGCAAAAUAAACAUGUAGAAAGUUUGUUUAUUGCUUGUUAGGACGUGGGUUCGAUUCCCACCAGCUCCACUU